UACGAAGGGGGCUAGCGUUGUUCGGAAUUACUGGGCGUAAAGCGUGCGCAGGCGGCUUCGCAAGUCAGGCGUGAAAUCCCCGGGCUUAACCUGGGAAUGGCGUCUGAAACUACGGAGCUGGAGUGUGGCAGAGGGAGGUAGAAUUCCACGUGUAGCGGUGAAAUGCGUAGAUAUGUGGAGGAAUACCGAUGGCGAAGGCAGCCUCCUGGGCCAACACUGACGCUCAUGCACGAAAGCGUGGGGAGCAAACAGG
rnacentral:rRNA from 1 species